UGAUGAAGUCCACUUGCUGAAACGUGUUGGUCUGACAAUAAAGUUGUUCAGCAUAAUAUAAGUUUGGCGGAGUAUUACCAAAUGAGUGUGUGGAGACAUGAAUGAAGGACAACAUGAGGCAAGAACUUUUACUAGCUGCACUGGAAAACAUAUUCAGACAAGCUACACAAAGAGACUUCAGCACCGGGAUGCAAACUGAACAUUCAUCAGACUACAUUAGGAAGUGGCUGGAGGGAAACCAUGGCCAAAAAGGAGAAAACAAGCAGACAACCAAACAAGUAGAAGAAGAAACGAUGAGAUGAUCAUACGAAAGACACAAAGUCAGUCAUGCUCACCUGUCCAGCAGGCUUCUUGCUGCUCUGCACACCUGUUCCCAAUCAUCUCAUCAGCCUGUGACCUGUUCCCGUGCCGGCCUCCCCAGCUGCACCUCAUCAGCUAACGAGUCUCCCAGCACUCAGCUGCUCCUUCAGCAACACACAGAAACUGUUCCAGCUGACAGCGUGGAGGGAGCUGUGGACCUGGUGAACUGUGACAGAGAACUGAACUGACCCUCGUCUUUCAGAAACACAACAGCUCCAUUAUGCUAAAGCUACAUCAGCUGUUCCACCACAAAGCUUCACCGCCACUGGAGAGGUCGUCAUUAUGUACAGAAGCUCCGGGAGGUCUGUGUUGUAUAAAGAGAGGGGAGAAGUGUGAGUCUCUGGGUAUUAACCCAUUAUUAAUGGUGACUGGUGCCUGGCAGCACGACGCAGCACGACUGAUUCUGAGAGAGAGAGGCAUCUGUCAGACAACACAGAAUGGAGGAAAUGUCAGAAGAUGAGCUCUGUAAUCAGGCAUCCCAUCCUGAUGCAUGUCAUAUAUGUAUUGGACAGACAGAUGGAGCGCAGAACCACUUCCUGUCCCGUCCUUCCUGACAGCAGUAAGAUUAUUUUCAAAUGGAGCUUUAAGGAUUUAGAUCUUAUUUGGAUGUCACAGUAACAGACAGCCAGUGAAGUUGCUGGAAAUCUGUCAAUUUACCAACAGAUGAGAAAGAUGACAGCCACAGAAUGGACUCUCAAGGUGCAAGAAAUCCAUCUGUCCAUCCAGACAUCCUCAUAUCCAGUACAUUUUAUUACUGUAAUUUCAAAUGCAUGAGAAAAAAGUCAAGAAACCACGUUCAGCCAUCUGAUGAGCCACAUCAAGUGUCUCCAAACGCAUUUGCAGUCUCUGCAAUACCAUAGGCCUGUACUAUUCCAAAACAACACACCAGGAAACAUGGACUAACACAGUUUAAAUCCAUCUCAGAAUGAAGAUUCAGUUCUGGCCCAAAGGGGGUACCUACAGCAUCAAGUGUAGGAGAUGGGCUCUGUACAAUGACUUCAACCUUUCAUCACUGUCUAAUUAGAGAGCAUUCAGUGGACCUCUAAUCUCAUUCUAAAGCCUCUUUCUUAUUGGACUGCAUUAAGAAGUAGAUGUGACGGUGGCUGGUGAGAAACAGCUAACCU